rnacentral:ncRNA from 1 species
CUGGUUGAUCCUGCCAGUAGCAUAUGCUUGUCUCAAAGAUUAAGCCAUGCAAGUCUAAGUACACACGGCCGGUACAGUGAAACUGUGAAUGGCUCAUUAAAUCAGUUAUGGUUCCUUUGAUCGCUCCAACGUUACUUGGAUAACUGUGGCAAUUCUAGAGCUAAUACAUGCCAACGAGCGCUGACCUCCGGGGAUGCGUGCAUUUAUCAGAUCCAAAACCCAUGCGGGGUGCCCCUCAGGGUGCCCCGGCUGCUUUGGUGACUCUAGAUAACCUCGAGCCAAUCACUGGCCCUCGUGGUGGCGACGUCUCAUUCGAAUGUCUGCCCUAUCAACUUUCGAUGGUACUGUACUUUCUGUGCCUGCCAUUGUGACCACAGGUUACGGGGAAUCAGGGUUCGAUUCCAGAGAGGGAGCCUGAGAAACGGCUACCACAGUAGUGGUAUGCAGCAGGCGUGCAAAUUACCCACUCCCGACUCGGUGAGGUAGUGACGAAAAAUAACAAUACAGGACUCUUUCGAGGCCCUGUAAUUGGAAUGAGUACUCUUUAAAUCCUUUAACGAGGAUCAAUUGGAGGGCAAGUCUGGUGCCAGCAGCCACAGUAAUUCCAGCUCCAAUAGCGUAUCUUAAAGUUGCUGCAGUUAAAAAGCUCGUAGUUGGUCCGCCAGUCCGCCGUGAGGCGUGCUACCGUCUGUCCCAGCCCCUGCCUCUCGGCAAUCCCUCGAUGCUCUUAGCUGAGUGUCCCGCCAGGGUCCGAAGCAUUUACUUUGAAAAAAUGAGUGUUUAAAGCAGGGGAGGGUUCUUAAGAGUGGGUACGCAGGUUAGGCUGGUUCGGCUGGUGGUGCAUUGCUGUUCUUAGUUGGUAGAGCAAUUUGUCUGGUUAAUUCUGAUGACGAACAAGACUUCGG